rnacentral:rRNA from 1 species
AGGAGAACCGCUGGCGGCGUGCCUAACACAUGCAAGUCGAGCGGGGUUGAAGGCGAGGGGUAACUCGAGUUUCUACCUAGCGGCGGACGGGUGAGUAACGCGUGGGCAACCUGCCUCAAGGACUGGGAUAACAGCUCGAAAGGGCUGCUAAUACCGGAUAAGCCUAUGGCCUCGCAUGGGGCCAUGAGCAAAGGGGAAACCCGCCUUGAGAUGGGCCCGCGUCCCAUCAGCUAGUUGGUGAGGUGAAGGCUCACCAAGGCGACGACGGGUAGCCGGCCUGAGAGGGUGACCGGCCACACUGGGACUGAGACACGGCCCAGACUCCUACGGGGGGCAGCAGUGGGGAAUCUUGCACAAUGGGCGAAAGCCUGAUGCAGCGACGCCGCGUGAGUGAAGAAGGCCUUCGGGUUGUAAAGCUCUGUCUGGAGGGACGAAGGAAGUGACGGUACCUCCGGAGGAAGCCACGGCUAACUACGUG